AAGGAAUCAGAAGCCGGUGUCAGAUCUCCUGCAAGUGGACUUGGCAGGGAGCGGCCGAGCGGGAGUGGGGAACUGAAUCGAGUCCUAUCCAAGAACAAAUGUUCUUAAAUGCUGAGCCAUCACUUAUCCCCGUGGCCUUCAGUUUUUAAUGAUAAAACCCCCAGAUAAGCACAUAUGUGUGCUUAUGUAGGUGUGUAAAUACACGAAGUGAUGCUGCAAACAGAAUAGUUGCUGUCUACUGCCUGGCACUUGGAACAAGAUGUGGAAGAGCAGGGGUGGAGAGGCUGAAGCAGGGACCGUGCUGUGAAGUCACCUGCCUGCACACAUUGGCUUAAUUCAGUUAUGUACAGAGGGAUCCACAGCCAUGCUCAAGGAAGAAGGGAGAGUGCUUCCAGAUGCUUCUACUGUCUUGAUGCUGGAAUACGGACUCAUGUGAGAACAGGUGCACAACACGACAGACAUAGAACAUUGGCUUCGGAAGGGGCUGGCCAAGCCUCGACCUGCUUCUCAUUAUUACGCUAAAGGAACAGGCUAGCUGAAGCAGCCAUGGUGCCCAUUUUUUUUAUAUUACCUUUCUGUUCCUUGAACAGUUAAAAAAAAUAAUGGCAGGACUUUUCUCUAAGUGAAUGAAAGAAAAUAUAACAAAUAAUGCUAAUAUUUCCAUUUUCUACCAACAAGAGUUCUUCUACAAAAAUCCAACCAUCGACUGCUAGACAAUGGAGCUUUGUAUCUUCUGUCUGAGAUCUGAAAGAUUAGCAGAUAAAAGGCAUGUGUAAAACUCGCGGUGGAAGCUCG